AACGAACGCUGGCGGCAUGCCUAACACAUGCAAGUCGAACGAGACCUUCGGGUCUAGUGGCGCACGGGUGCGUAACACGUGGGAAUCUGCCCUUCGGUUCGGAAUAACAGAGAGAAAUUUCUGCUAAUACCGGAUGAUGACGUAAGUCCAAAGAUUUAUCGCCGAAGGAUGAGCCCGCGUAGGAUUAGGUAGUUGGUGGGGUAAUGGCCCACCAAGCCGACGAUCCUUAGCUGGUCUGAGAGGAUGAUCAGCCACACUGGGACUGAGACACGGCCCAGACUCCUACGGGAGGCAGCAGUGGGGAAUAUUGGACAAUGGGCGAAAGCCUGAUCCAGCAAUGCCGCGUGAGUGAUGAAGGCCUUAGGGUUGUAAAGCUCUUUUACCAGGGAUGAUAAUGACAGUACCUGGAGAAUAAGCUCCGGCUAACUUCGUGCCAGCCGCCGCAGUAAAAC
rnacentral:rRNA from 1 species